rnacentral:rRNA from 1 species
UGGGGAAUAUUGGACAAUGGGCGCAAGCCUGAUCCAGCCAUGCCGCGUGAGUGACGAAGGCCUUAGGGUUGUAAAGCUCUUUUGGCGGGGACGAUAAUGACGGUACCCGCAGAAUAAGUCCCGGCUAACUUCGUGCCAGCAGCCGCGGUAAUACGAAGGGGACUAGCGUUGUUCGGAAUCACUGGGCGUAAAGCGCACGUAGGCGGAUUGUUAAGUCAGGGGUGAAAUCCCGGGGCUCAACCUCGGAACUGCCUUUGAUACUGGCAAUCUCGAGUCCGGAAGAGGUGGGUGGAAUUCCUAGUGUAGAGGUGAAAUUCGUAGAUAUUAGGAAGAACACCGGUGGCGAAGGCGGCCCACUGGUCCGGUACUGACGCUGAGGUGCGAAAGCGUGGGGAGCAAACAGGAUUAGAUACCCAAGUAGUCCCUGAGCGGGCUGGCAAGGCGCAU